AUGGAAAAAGGAAGAGAGUUCCAGAAAAACAUCUAUUUCUUCUUUAUUGACUAUGCCAAAGCCUUUGACUGUGUGGAUCACAAUAAACUGUGGAAGAUUCUUCAAGAGAUGGGAAUACCAGACCACCUGCCUCUUGAGAGGACUUCUCAAAGGACCUGCCUCUUGAGAAACCUGUAUGCAGGUAAGGAAGCAACAGUUAGAACUGGACACGGAACAACAGACUGGUUCCAAAUAGGAAAAGGAGUACGUCAAGGCUGUAUAUUGUCACCCUGCUUAUUUAACUUCUAUGCAGAGUACAUCAUGAGAAACGCUGGGCUGGAAGAAACACAAGCUGGAAUCAAGAUUGCCGGGAGAAAUAUCAAUAACCUCAGAUAUGCAGAUGACACCACCCUUAUGGCAGAAAGUGAAGAGGAACUAAAGAGCCUCUUGAUGAAAGUGAAAGAGGAGAGUGAAAAAGUUGGCUUAAAGAUCAAUAUUCAGAAAACGAAGAUCAUGGCAUCCGGUUCCAUCACUUCAUGGGAAAUAGAUGGGGCAACAGUGGAAACAGUGUCAGACUUUAUUUUGGGGGGCUCCAAAAUCACCGCAGAUGGUGACUGCAGCCAUGAAAUUAAAAGACGCUUACUCCUUGGAAGGAAAGUUAUGACCAACCUAGAUAGCAUAUUAAAAAACAGAGAUAUUACUUUGCCAACAAAGGUCGGUCUAGUCAAGGCUAUGGUUUUUCCAGUAGUCAUGUAUGGAUGUGAGAGUUGGACUGUGAAGAAACCUGAGCGCCAAAGAAUUGAUGCUUUUGAACUGUGGUGUUGGAGAAGACUCUUGAGAGUCCCUUGGACUGCAAGGAGAUCCAACCAGUCCAUUCUGAAGGAGAUCAGCCCUGGGAUUUCUUUGGAAGGAAUGAUGCUAAAGCUGCAACUCCAGUACUUUGGCCACCUCAUGCGAAGAGUUGACUCAUUGGAAAAGACUCUGAUCCUGGGAGGGAUUGGGGGCAGGAGGAGAAGAGGACAACAGAGGAUGAGAUGGCUGGAUGACAUCACUGACUCGAUGGACGUGAUUCUGAGUGAACUCCAGGAGUUGGUGAUGGACAAGGAGGCCUGGCGUGCUGUGAUUCAUGGGGUCUCAAAGAGUUGA
rnacentral:lncRNA from 1 species